AGUCUUCCACACCUUUUUGACUAACUUCCCUGUAUUCCUUGGAGGCUAAAAAUUGUAUGAGGAGGAAGAAAAAAGAAUUGUAUAGAUGUGCUGCAGGGUUGGGACAGAGGCCACUUACAAAGAGACUCUCGAUGGCAAAGCAGGGAGAAGACCUCGGAGCAGCUGUCAUGAGGGGUUACUGGCAACAGGGUGGAUGUGACACAGGUAAACACACACACUCAAGCCAAGAGGUAAGUAAAAGGCCACAUGGCUCUAUCUCUUUGAUAUCUAUUCAGUUUGAACUCUACCCUUUGCAGUCACUUGGUGUUUGUUCCUUCUGAGUCCACCAGGGAAGUGGGCCACUCGGUGACUGCUGGCUGUGACCUGAUGGACUGGCCCAGCUGAGUACAGCUUGCUUGUUUGUGGUCGAGGGAGAAGAUCCUGUGGGAUCCCAUCUGCAGCCCCUGGAAGCAGGCCCUGCCUGGAAGCAUGGGCUAGGUCACCGUCACCCUGGCCUCUCCCCGUUAUUUCUGAGAAUUCCUGGAACAGUCGAUGGAAACAGCUGUCUCGGCCAGCACAGCCACUCUCUCGGGAAGCUCCGAGCCCAGUGAAUAUCACAGCUUGCAGCCUUCUGGGUUUCCAGAUCCCUUGCUUAGCACUGAUAAGUGAUUGCAAAAGUGAAAAUAAAACUCAAGAUCA